CACCAGAGACAGCACACAUGGUAUUUAACUAAUGCUCUGAAUGCAAUAUGGCCAUUAACGAUUAUGAGAUAAAGGUGGAGUCCUUUGGCAUAAAUGUUUAUUCAGUGUCUUGCAAUACUCUGAUUCUCCUUGUUCCAUCCACAAUUUGAAUUUUGUUUUCAAACUUGUUUUUUGAAUUUACCAUUAGAAAUGCAUGCCUUUUCCCCCUCAAAAAAUAAACAACACACAUUUAAAAUGAUAGACAAACGCACCAAAUACAGUGGAGGUUUUCCAAAUGGAACUCAAGAUGUUGGUGCUAAAGUGAAAGCUGUUUC
rnacentral:lncRNA from 1 species